CCCUAAAAUUCGCUGCACAUCUUCAGCCGUCGUUUCUCCUAAAUCUCUUCCGUAUUCCUCUUUACUCUCUUCAAUCUCGGGCAGGCCUCCAAAACCACCAACCUCCUGACACCACUUCUACCUCCACCCUCCUGAUGUUGUCGUUACGUCUACCAGCGCCCCUCUACCGCCUUGCUUCUACUUCUUCCUACACUACCAUCACAACAAUAACACACUCUUCACCCUCGCAUCACGAACCGCAUAUGACCGUUGUCUCCACCCGUUCUCUUCCCUCACAAAUGGAAGCAUGGAUAAGAAAUCCAAAUGAAAGAAGGUAAGGUAUGUGCUCGGUUUUGGACAUUCAGUGAAAGAAACCUUAGUAAAGGCGAGGUUGUGUUUCUCCCAGUUCUAUUGUUUACUAACUAACAUUUGCACCCGUUUUGGCUACUCUCCUUUUCUUCCCCCUCCUAUGUCGACCUAAUCAAUGAUGUUUUGUUAGCAAGAAAUCCAAAUUAAAGAUCUUGAGGGCUUGCAGAACACCAUCAAAAUGCUUACGAUAUUUCAAUUUCUCCUUAUCUACAUCAACAAUUCUUGUUGGAAUAAAAGGGUGAAUGGGGGGGUCAAAAUAAGAAGAGUUUUUACAUCGAGAUCUACUUCAGGAAUGCGUCCCAACUAUGUUUCAGAAUAAUUAAGCAACUAAUUCAGCUCUUAGUGCUCGGAUGAAGGGCCUUUUACGAUUGUUCUUAAUUGGCGCAAAGAAAUAUUUGGAACGACGGUGAUGGAACAUUUGGAUUUGGGUUUUUUAUGUAAUAGAGGCAUAUAUAGUAAUAGAUAUGUUUAUCCUAGAUGUCGUGGGGUCAUUAUAAUAGGUUGUCAUACUUGCUCGGAGUGGUGAUUUUCAUAUUUAAAUUAUAUGUGAAGUACA